ACGCUCGACACCUACGGGGGGCAGCAGUUGGGAAUAUUGGACAAUGGAGGAAACUCUGAUCCAGUGACGCCGCGUGAAGGAAGAAGGUCUUCGGAUUGUAAACUUAUUUUGUCAGGGAAGAAAAAUGACUGUACCUGAAGAAAAAGCACCGGCUAACUACGUGCCAACAGCCGCGGUAAUCUGAGCGGGCUGGCAAGGC
rnacentral:rRNA from 1 species